rnacentral:lncRNA from 1 species
AUUUUAAAUUAUAAGAUGGUUUGAUUAAUGGUUGUUUCUUUUCUUAGUUAUAUUUACUUUAUAUGCUAACAGGAAAGGCUGAGCUUGUAUAACACAGCCUAAAAAGAACACCCUAAUUACUAGUGUGGAUUAUCUAAACAUCAUCUGUUUUCUUGAACCAUUUGUGCAAUUAAUUUGUCAUUUGAGAAUUUAAAGAACGAUUAUGGUAUUUACAUUUUCUCACUAUAGAUUUUUCAAUAUUCCGUUUGCUGAUCUUGCCUUAAAAACAAUUUAUUGCCCAUCUUCUUUUGGCAUCAAAGAAGGAAUCCUCUUGCAAUUACUCCCAAAAAUCUAAUAUCUGGAAAACAAACCAACAGUGAAGAUCUGAGUUCAGCAAUGGGGUAUCACAGUGUUUGGUAGAACACUGAGAAAAACUCACUUUUAUAAAAAGUAUAAUCAAAAUCCACUUGAUUUCUCAAAUAAAAAUCUUAAGGAAUGUCUAUAGAAAAGACAGAAAUGGUCCCCUCUCCAAACUGUGUAUUCAGCUUAGCUGACUGGACAAAAAUAACUUAAUUGAAUUGAAUGUGAGACUGAAACCCUUAACACUUUCAGUGAAGGCCAGGAUGAUCUUUAAAGUACCUGAGCAUAUUUUCAACAGAGUUUGAUGUCAUAUCACACACUAGCUGACACAGAGUAAGCACUCAAUAAGUUAGAUAUGACUGACUGGCUCACUCCCACUCACUGAGUCUGUGUAUCUGACUGUACGUGUCUAUGUGUGUUUUUCACCUAUGCAUAUGAGUACCACAGUGCAUGAAUAGAGGAUAUCAGACAACUUGUGAGUCAAUUCCCUCUUUCCUAGGGAUUGAACUCAGCUCUACUCACUGGUCAGCAGCUGUUAGCCACUGAAUGAAAGCUGAAUUCAUCUCAUCUGCUGUUCCUUGACAGCAGUUAGCAAUGAGAUCUUACCCCAGGGACAAGCAGAAAAAAAGGCGUAUGGACUCUUGGGAUCACAGAGGAAGGUUGAGAAAUGUUUCUUGGCACCUCUGUCUUUGUAACUUACAGCCCCAAAUUUAGCUAACGAGAUCCAAAGGAGAAUAUUAAGAAUCAGAAUAAAUUAAAAUAACCUGAAAUAAAUAUAUAUGAUGAAAUUGAGCAGAAUAUAACAAAUUUUAAGUGUUAUGUUGGACAUUGUGAAAGGUCUUGUAUGGAAACUCUGGAGAGAUUUAAGCACACUCAAGCUGCUGCUUGGAGGUAGCAUCUGUGAUUGUGAGUAAUUUAGUCAAAGGGUCGCCCUGCAUCAGCUGUUCCUCCCUGAGGGCAUGGUCCUCUCUUUUGGAUUUCCUAUGGUAGACUUAGGGACAGUCUUGAACUGUGUUAAGAUGGCAGUCCCCUGGGAUGCAGCCCUUACUGGGUUCUUAGCUCUCCUCUGCACACCUCUGCAGGAAGGAGACAUCAGCCCAUGCAGCUGAAAUCCCCACAUCUCUAAAUUGAUUAUCUUUGAGGAUACAGCUAAAUGAAACAAUCACUGAUGAAAUUUCUAAUUAUUCUUUCCUAAUUUGUACUUUUAAGAAAAUCCAAAAGGAGUAAUACCAGAUUAAUUUCCUUUUUUUUUUAAUUCAAUAUCCCUGUGGGCCAUUACAUUUGCAUGCUUGAGUAAGGCUUUAGAGUAAUAUAUAGGAUAUGGGGAGGUUUUCUUCCAAAGACUGAUGGCUCUGUCACCCCAAGGAGUGAACUGGAUUGCAGACUGUUGACUUAAAGGAAGUUUAUUCACUGAUCAGCUAAUCAGAAAUCAUUCACGCAAGAGGACUUGCAAAGAUUAUGGGGUUUUUUUCUUAUUUUCUUUUAAUGAAAAUUGCUUCCUUUUCCAUUUUGCAUAGAAAAAGAAGCCACAGGGAAGGGUAAAUUGAAAGCCAUAGCUAAUGGACACUGUAUAACUGUCUAAUGCUUUGUUUAUAUAUUAAUCUGGUGGUUCUUAAGGCUCACUCAGCUCUGUAAAUUUUGCAUUUGUUGUAUUUGAUCAUGCUAUGUGCCAACUGUAUGUACUACUGACCCAAUUUUAUCUGGGUAGUAACAAUAAAACACUCCCGUGGGGUAAGCUCCAUUUAAGACUAUUUUGAAAGGGUGCACCAUCAAUCCAGAAUGCUCAUCUGGCUGCUUACCUCAUUACAGGCUUUAGGAAGAGUUAGCGUAUCUCCCAUGGGAUUCUGACAGGAGUUGAAUGGGUCAUUAGUGGUGUGUUUUCUUCCUCUGGCCCUAUCACCUGCUAUUCCCAGGUGACAGAAAAGGCAUACGGAAACCCACUGUAAAUCAGAGCUAUGAGGUCAGUAAAUGAUCACCCCUUAAUGCUUUGAGUACAGUAGAAUCAGGAUGUCUUGCCUCUACUAAUAAACUGUAUAAACUCUAUCAAAAAAAAAAUACUAUUUCACGGGUUUCAAAGGACCCAAUGAGUCCAGUCUUUAUUAAAGACAGUUUCGUAUUUUCACUUGCUGAAGACAACUAUUUUUUGUUGUAAUAAGUUUUAUUUUCAGGUACUGACGACCGUAGUAGAAUAUUGGCCAUUGAAGCUAAGUGCAAGGUGAAAGAUACAGAUCAAAUAGUAUUCUUGCUUAAAGUAGAAGAGCAAAACACUGGGGGAAACAGAAGUACGUGAAAUUAGAUGGACAGGACAGUUUAAAACUCUGUUCCAGGAUUCUUUGAACCAUCCCUUUGGCAGCUGCCCAGAUCAUGUUAAUUGCCACUUUGUGUAUACAUUUCUAUGGACUGACUCAUCAUUUUGGCUUAAAAUAUAGAUGGUAUAACAAGGUUGGAAAUACUUAAAUGGCCCUCCCUUUCAGGCUUGUCUUACAAAGCUAAUAGUUUUGUUUUGUUUUGUUUUGUUUUGUUUUGUUUUUUACACAAGCUAUUAUUUUGCCUUUAACAUAUUUUUCUAGAAUAUUAUUCUUAUGUUUAUAAAACAGGCCAGGCAAAGAAUGCUACAACUUGGCCAUGAAACAACACUAAAAGCAUCUUCAAUACCCUGCCUCUUACAGAUAAGAGUAAUUUCGGACUGAAGAACUAAAAUAUUUGGCUUAUGAUAUAGCAGGAUACACAGGAUACCCUGACUUCUAAAUCAAGAGAGAAGACCUCUCGUGGGAUUCAUUUCCCCUUUCCCAGUCUGCCCUAUUUUAUGCCUAUAAUGGAAUUUUGGCUUUAGGAAUGCACAGAUUCAUCACUAGACUCAGAAUCUGGAGC